rnacentral:misc_RNA from 1 species
GAUGAAGAACGUAGCGAAAUGCGAUAAGUAAUGUGAAUUGCAGAAUUCAGUGAAUCAUCGAAUCUUUGAACGCACCUUGCGCCCUUUGGCUAUUCUGAAGGGCAUGCCUGUUUGAGUAUCGUGAACACCUCAACUCUCAUGGUCUGCCAUGAUGAGCUUGGACUUUGGGGGUCUUGCUGGCCUACCGUCAGCUCCUCUCAAAUGAAUCAGCUUACCAGUGUUUGGUGGGUAUCAUGGGUGUGAUAACUAUCUACGCUUGUGGUUUUUCCACCAGGUAACCUUCAGCAGUGGAGGUUCGCUGGAGCUCAUAGAUGUCUCUCCUCAGUGAGGACAGCCCUUUGAAUGUUUGAUCUCAAAUCAGGUAGGACUACCCGCUGAACUUAAGCAUAUCAAUAAGCGGAGGA